rnacentral:rRNA from 1 species
UACGUAGGUGGCAAGCGUUAUCCGGAAUUAUUGGGCGUAAAGCGCGCGCAGGCGGUUUCUUAAGUCUGAUGUGAAAGCCCACGGCUCAACCGUGGAGGGUUAUUGGAAACUGGGGAACUUGAGUGCAGAAGAGAAAAGCGGAAUUCCACGUGUAGCGGUGAAAUGCGUAGAGAUGUGGAGGAACACCAGUGGCGAAGGCGGCUUUUUGGUCUGUAACUGACGCUGAGGCGCGAAAGCGUGGGGAGCAAACAGG